rnacentral:rRNA from 1 species
AUUGAACGCUGGCGGCAUGCCUUACAUAUGCAAGUCGAACGGUAACAGGUCUUCGGAUGCUGACGAGUGGCGAACGGGUGAGUAAUACAUCGGAACGUGCCCAGACGUGGGGGAUAACGAGGCGAAAGCUUUGCUAAUACCGCAUACGAUCUAAGGAUGAAAGCAGGGGACCGCAAGGCCUUGCGCGUUUGGAGCGGCCGAUGGCAGAUUAGGUAGUUGGUGGGAUAAAAGCUUACCAAGCCGACGAUCUGUAGCUGGUCUGAGAGGACGACCAGCCACACUGGGACUGAGACACGGCCCAGACUCCUACGGGAGGCAGCAGUGGGGAAUUUUGGACAAUGGGCGAAAGCCUGAUCCAGCAAUGCCGCGUGCAGGAUGAAGGCCUUCGGGUUGUAAACUGCUUUUGUACGGAAAGAAAAGGCUCUGGCUAAUACCUGGGGCACAUGACGGUACCGUAAGAAUAAGCACCGGCUAACUACGUG